UGAAUGCCAUUACUUGUAAGAACUCAUAAAUCAUAACAGUGGCUUGUGAGAGGGAGAGAGAGAGAGAGAGAGAGAGAGAGAGAGAGAGAGCUUGGUUCUGUGUUUUCAAUCCAUGUAUUGAUUUUGAGAAAUAUGCUGGAUCCAGUGAGUUGUUUGUGUUCUUGCAUUCAAAGCUUUGUUACGCGUCAGGACAUUAGCUAUGUGUUUCGAACCAAAGAGAAAAUUGAUGAUUUGGAGAACGCCAUGAAACAUCUCAUGGCCACGAAGGAGGAUGUUCAGAGAAAUAUUGAUGAUCCUCAACACAAAGGGAAACAAGUAACUCGACAAUCAACAUCAACUUCAACACUGGCUUCGCGAUGUUAAAGAAAAGGAUAACAAGGUAGAACGAUUAUUGGAUAAAUAUCGGAAAGGUAAUUGUGUUCCAGGAUGUUCUUAUUCUCUAAAUUGUGUUUCAAGCUAUAAGGUUGGCAGGAAUGCAGUCAAGUUGAAAGAGAAGAUAGACAAGUUGACAACAACACAGCCAGAAAUCAAAUUUACCGACAUACCACAGCCUGAACCAGUCUCUGAAUCAUCUAAAAUAGUGGGGGAAAAAAUCGUCUCCAACCUUAAUGUUGCUUGCAGUUACCUGGCA